rnacentral:rRNA from 1 species
AUUGAACGCUGGCGGCAUGCCUUACACAUGCAAGUCGAACGGCAGCACGGGUGCUUGCCCCUGGUGGCGAGUGGCGAACGGGUGAGUAAUACAUCGGAACAUGUCCUGUAGUGGGGGAUAGCCCGGCGAAAGCCGGAUUAAUACCGCAUACGGUCUACGGAUGAAAGCGGGGGACCUUCGGGCCUCGCGCUAUAGGGUUGGCCGAUGGCUGAUUAGCUAGUUGGUGGGGUAAAGGCCUACCAAGGCGACGAUCAGCAGCUGGUCUGAGAGGACGACCAGCCACACUGGGACUGAGACACGGCCCAGACUCCUACGGGAGGCAGCAGUGGGGAAUUUUGGACAAUGGGCGAAAGCCUGAUCCAGCAAUGCCGCGUGUGUGAAGAAGGCCUUCGGGUUGUAAAGCACUUUUGUCCGGAAAGAAAUCCUUGGCCCUAAUACGGUCGGGGGAUGACGGUACCGGAAGAAUAAGCACCGGCUAACUACGUG